GUGUCAGUCUCCAUAUGGUUACAGCACUGAGUGUGUGUUGCCACCAGGGACUUCACACAGAGUAAGGCUCGGUCCGGCUGACAGGGCCUGGAAAGGUGUUGUUUCCUUGUGCGAUGGUUCCAUACAUU